AACGAACGCUGGCGGUAUGCUUAACACAUGCAAGUCGAACGGAUAUAGCAAUAUAUUAGUGGCAAACGGGUGAGUAAUAUAGAGGAAUCUACCUAGCAGUAUGGAAUAACCCUGGGAAACCAGAGCUAAUACCAUAUAUUACCGUUUAUUCGGGAAAGAUUUAUCGCUGUUAGAUGAGCCUCUAUCGGAUUAGCUAGUUGGUAAGGUAAUGGCUUACCAAGGCUUUGAUCCGUAGCUGGUCUUAGAGGAUGAUCAGCCACACUGGAACUUAGACACGGUCCAG
rnacentral:rRNA from 1 species